CCAGUCAUCGCAAACCUCCUUCCUCAGUUCGUACCCUCCAGCUGUUCCCGCGACAGCAGUCAUCGCAAGCCUUCUUCCUAACAUCGUACUUUCCUGCUGUUCCCGCCGACAGCAGUCACCGCAAACCUCCUUCCUCACACCGUAUCUUCCUGCUGUUCCCGCCGACAGCAGGCAAGCAGGCAUUGCAAACCACUCCUCACAUCGUACGGUGAGCUGUUCCCGCCGACAGCUCUCGCACGGCACUCACCAAGUUCCUUCUCCCAAGUAUCACAGAAAGCCACCACACACCCAUGUAGCGUAAGCCCUUGCCAUAUUAUUCGCACACCACCACCACCACAGCUGUUCGUGCAGGCGAGCUGACAAUGUUGGCUCAGCUUUGACCGCGAUGACUCCUCGGACCAGACAACGCCUCGUAUCUAACGGACAUAAGAGCUAUAGCUGACACAUCUCCAGCUUCUUACAUCGUGCCCUGCUAGAGGCCGUCAUAAUGGGAAUUAAUGCCUCGAUCGCCAACAUCCGCCACGCCACAGGGGGGAGGCUGGAGAGGUGACGCUGAGCUACAGGGCGUGUGGCGGCGGUGGUGGCAGCGACGUAGCAGCCGGCAGCCAGCAGCCACAGGAGCCGCCGCUGCACGCCGUCCUCAUUCGUUGUUUUGUCCCAGCGCUGUACAUACAAGCUGACACUCACAACGGCAACAACUCUAGUGUUAAAUACCUCUUACCUGCCAUAAGUAAGCUUCUUCGCGUAGACUAAACUUGCGUUCUUGCUGUCAACACUGCUGUGUGCUUUAUUGGAAUUUUUAUCAAUGUUGUUGGUGGUGUUAAUUGGUGUUUUUUCGAUGUCCAUGUGCAUUUCGUGUAAAUAUUGUCUACUUAAAUCAGUGUAAUGAAGAAACAAAUGACGGUAACGAAUUUGCUCAACGAGCGGCUCUCCGACUCAGUGCGCCGUCGACGAUUCCUCUACCGAAGACCCGAGGGGCGGCAUUCAGCUCGUCGUGACAUCCGGAGUCCCUGUUUCUGUGUGCCGGCAGAACUACACCCCUCUUCGGCCUCUCUCUUUCUCUGUUUAGUGAGCGCUAAUUAGCAGUUAAUGACAAUGACUUUCUCCAAUUUCUCACAUAACAAUUCCGCUGAAUAGUUUAGUACCACUGAUAACCUUACAGAGUCAUAAAUGCUUCCCACACGUCCUCACUUCUCCUCUACUGUAAGCUAUGGUUUUUUGUUUACUGCUUGAUCUCGCCCUCUUUUUCUGCUGUCGCAUUUCAGAGCUUCGCUUACAGGUGUGCCGGCCACACCCCAUUUCCGGCCAAAGCGAGACGUUGUGAACACCAACAGGAUUACCUUGCUACAAAGUUCAUUACAUCCUUUCUGUCCAUCAGUUGGGCUCAUAUGUAUCAGUAUUAAAGCGUCAGAUAUGUUGAAACACCUUUGAUAACAACACAGGCUGUGUCAGUGCUAUCGUUACCAAAGUUAGUUUUUAAGAUUAGUGGUAAGUCUAUUCUCAGGCAUUUUAAUGUAAUAUUCGGCCAUGUGAUUGUCAUCAGUUUAUUUGUAGUUAGGUUAUGGUGUUAGGAAUAGUCCAAAAAUUAAAUAUUUAUCCUCCAAAUGAGCAGCAUUCACAAUUAGAGGUGCCUACUCCUACGGAACUCUGUCGCGUCGUUUCACCCAUCGUCACUCAUCUCCUCUCCGAUUCAUCACCACGCUUUUUUUUCCGUAGGUAGUCACGAGCGGCGCUGUUCGCCAGCUGGUGAACGUUGUGUGCGCUCUGCCUAUUGUUCUGCCAGCAGUAGUCAAGUAGUCACCAGUGUCAUUAUCAUUCGGCUAGUCAAAUAAGUUAUGUCCUUCUCCCUGAAUUCAAUCCACAGCCACACUAUCUCAUCAUAUGUACAUCUCGUUCCCGAUCCUUCACGAAGUCUUCCAUUUCGUAAUAGCUGCGGCACGUGCUGCUCGUGACAUGAAGACUGUUCUGUCACUGUAUCUCAAUAACCAACUGUACCACGCAACUGCAACAUUUCAUCCACCUCAGUCUUUAGACAGCCACGACAGCAGCAGUUGUUCCCAAUUGUAAAUAGUUUCCCGUUCCACAUCCAUAGUAGCUGACAAUUCUGCCCUUCAGAUCUCGUGUUGACCGAGUUGUCACUUAUUAUGGGAUUUUAGAGAAUUUUAUUUAUAUGAGGCGAAAUCAGUUAGUGUGUCUUAUUGAUGUAAAAAACGAUGUUAGUGGCACUCCAGAAUGUCGCUUUUGCCUGAGUUUCUUACACGGUUUGCAAUCUUUUCACGCUGAAUCAUGAGCUCUUUCAGUUCUUACACAUUUUUAGGAUAUUAUGUAGCUGAGGUUACUUGAGCAGCUUAGUGACGAAAUCCAUAAUUUUAUUUAUGCAUUCCUAAUGCUUGUGCAGUAAGUGUAGAGUAAAGGAAGUUUUCGGGUAAGAAAGCCACCUUCAGUCAUAAAACAGGCCCAUAAGUAUGACUGAAGGUGGCUAUCUCACACAAAAACUUCUUUUUGUAAAAACCCAUGUUCGUUUUCCCCAAAAAUAGGUUGACUUUGAUACGGCCAUAAUAUUUUUAAUUAUAGUGUUUUAAUUAUAGUGUUCAUUUUUCCUUUUGUCGAUUCCCUUGUUUGAGUACUAAAACUUAAAUACAACCAUAAGAAACUGAAUUAUAUGUUCCACUAUCGCGACCUCUUCAUAAACCGACUGCCAAAUUACACGUUAUGGCUUGUUUUCAUAUGUCUUCCACAACCACAAAGUUUUCAGACUUUCAUGCUGAUACUUAGGCGACUGUUGCUUCGUGUAAUCUCUUACACUUACAGCGCCUGUGUUCAUGCGUCGAGUGCUUACAGAUCCAGGGCAUUAAAGUACAAAUCACUGGACUUCGUCUCUUGCGUUCAUAGUAAUCAACCGUAGUCUCAAUUUCAGUUCAAAAUUUCCUGUUGUUGGAUCUUUGGCUGCAAGGCUUUAUUUUACUUGGGUUGGGGAAGCACUGUCCGCUUCUUUCAUCUACAGCAAAAUUUUAUUUCCUACAUAUCCUCUGUUCGCAUAUCAUUAAAUGUCUGUUUAUGUUGUGCAUUUUUUAUAUAAAAUAACUUAUGUUUAUUUUGACGGCAGUAAGUCAUGCUUGCCCUUAGUUAGGAAUAGCUGUAAAUCUAAAUGCGACAGCUGGAAAUUCACACAGAACUCAAAUGCCGUUCUUAUGUCCACUGAUCACCCUGACAUCGCACGCGGUGACUCCGGUAAUGUGCUUAUGCACAGUUUAAUUUUACGCACACACCAUCUGUUUGUGAUAAGCUAUAAGUCAUUUCUUCCUUCCCUUGCCCACUGUACAAAAGGUGUAUUUCUAGUUCGUAACGAGACUUGCGAUGAAUGCAUUGCGUUAUUUUUUAACUGACAGGGUAACAAAACCUUAGCUGCAAGCUUCAAGCCUGUUAACCGCCAGUGACAAUGAGUGACAUUGUGUUUUUUUUAAAUGUCUCCUUUCCAGUCUGCAUUGAAAACGGUGCUCGUUAAAUUUAAAUGUUGUUUGUGUUUUUAUUAUCUGAGGUAUGAAAUCUAAAUUUCCGAAAUAUAAAUGACACACCUUUAUGUAUAACUGACUUUCAUUUAUUGUAAUGUUAUUUUGAACAUGAAUAGUAAGAAAAUUUCAAAAAUUUGGUUCUUAAAACUAAUUACUUUUUGACACUCAGCAGGAGAUUGUUUCACAAACUGACAAGGGAUUACGUUUUUAUUGAUUAAUAAUUUGAUUAAUUUUUCAUCUCAUGCAAGAAGAUGGGUGCAGAUUUUAAUUGCAAGUAGUUUAAGUGAUAGUUCCUUAUUAUUGUGGCAGAGACGGUUAAGUAUGAGGAAAAGCUGUCACUGUCUUGUGUGACACUUAUUUUAACAUUAAUCAGAUCAAAUUAGUUGCAUAUAUAUCUUUUUACUGCUUACUACAGCUCUUUGAAUUCUAAUUCGCAGUUAGAGAACAUUUUUUGUCGUUGUUGCUAGUAGAAUGCUAGAAUAUCAUUGCUUUACAGUAACACAUGGUGAGACUGUUAUGUUUAGCUCUCGAGUACAUUAGUAUAAAUUGACAUAGCUGUAUGUCUGGUCACAAAUAAAGUUACUUACUUUGUCAUUAAUUUGUGUUUGAUGUAGUAAAUAAUGUUUAAAGCACUAAAGCUUGUUAAAUCUACAACAAUCUCCUGCCACUACACUUUGUUAAGGAGAAUACGUAUAUAUAUACAAUUAUCUGGAGGCCAUUUAUUAUUUAGUGAUGUAAUAUAUGUGUAAAAACUAUGAACCGAAAAUUAUGGCGAUUUUGUAAAUAGCGUGAAAAACAUUGAUGAAAAGUAGUGAGUAAUGAACGAUCGGUAUUUAGUUUAUAGGAACAGAAAACAGAUAGCUACAGUCUUCUACUUGAAAAUUGUUAAUGUGGUAUUCUUGGGACAAUUGCUGAACGAAAUUACGUUGAUAAAAAUUUAAGGAGGCACCGCAGUAACUUUUCUGUGAGAGCAAAGUUGAAGUUUAAGGUGUUUUUCCUAGUAUAGUAGUUAGUCAUCAUUUUAAACUGAACCUGAUUUAAACUAACAUUUAGUUUCCUUAGUUUGAAUAACUGAAUGUUAUGAGUAUCAUGUUUCAUCAUACUUGGAGUUCUGUUUGUUAUACUAAUAUUAAUCAAUCAAAAUUUUAGUUGGCUUAAUACAAAAUGAAUUUAUGCAACAUCCCAUUGGACCUAGUAGAGAUAUGCUUGUAGUGAAAAACUUAGUUUGUAAUUAACUUCGUGAGAAAUCUAUUUUAUUUUUAUUCACAUUUUUAAAAAUUAUUUAAAUCGAUUUAGUACACAACUGCAUAAAUUGCCAUCUGUUCCUUUGUGAAAACAUGAUUUCACUGAGUAAGUCUACAUUGUUUAAACUGUCUACUGUGAUAUUAUGUACUUACUAUCCUGUUCAUCUGUGCAUAUGUGGUUACAGUUAUUACAGAUGUGUUCUUUGUUAUAUGUGGCAAAAUAACUGUACUGGUAAUUGAUAAUCUUUCUCUUAAUAUUGUUUCUGUACAUUUAUUUCAUUGUUGGUGCCAAAGUUUAGAUAUAUUUUGAAAACAAAUGUGGUUAAAGUAUAUAUAUUUGCUCUCUUUAGUAUGUACCAAAAAUGACUGUGUAGUUACUAGGCAAGAAAUAUUGGGAAAAACGUUAUGGUUUGUGUUAUUUUGCCAUGUGUAAUAUGAACGAAAAACUAUGUAGUUAUUAGGCAAGAUAUAUUGGAAAAAUAUUGUGGUUACAUUUAUUUUGCCCUUUGUAGUAGGUAUCAAAAUAACAGUUCUUUUAAUGGAUAAUCUUUCCUUUCACAUUCCACAUUCUUCCUGUAUAUUUGUUUGUGCCUAUAUCUGUGUGUGUGUGUGAAUUAUGUAAUUGUCUCUAUCAUUAUUGUGUAGUUAUUGGGCAAGAAAUAUUGGAAAAAGUAGGUGGUUACAGUCACUAUAUUUGUUCUCCAUAAAAGAUACCAAAAUAACUGUGUCGCUAUUGGACAAGAAACAUUUGAAAAAGUAUGUGGUUAUAGUCAAUAUAUUUCUUCUCAGUAGAAUGUAGUAUAAUAAUUAUGUAGUUAUUGUGCAACAAAUGUUGGAAAAAACAUCGUGGUUAAAGCUGUUUUGCUCUACUCUCUGUGGUAUUUACCACAUUAACUGUACUCUUAAUAGGUAAUCUGUCCUUUGGCUUUCUUCUCAUAACUUUGUUUAAUUGAUCGUCCCUGAGUUCAUGUGUGUGUGUGUGUGUGUGUGUGUGUGUGUGUGUGUGUGUGUGUAUUGUCAUUAUUGUGUAGUCAUUAGACAAGAAAUAUUGGAAGAAAGGAUAUAGUUACAGUAGGUAUAAUUUCUCUCUGUAAAAUGUACCAAAACAACUCUGUAGUUAUGGGGUAAGAAAAAUUAAAAAAGAGUAUGUGGUUACAGUCAUUCUAUUGGUUCUCUGUCAAAUAUGUCAAAAUAACUGUGUAAUUAUUGGUCAAGAAAUAUUGCAAAAAUAUGUGGUUACAUUAUUUCCUCUCUGUAAAAUGCAACAAAGUAAGUGUGUAGUUAUUAGACAAGAAACAUUACUAAAACAUUGUGGUUACAGUUAUUUCUCUCUCUGCGGUCUUUACUAAAAAAUCUGUGCUUUUAAAGGAUAAUCUGUCUUUGGUAUUCUUUAGAUAUAUUUGUUUCAUUGUUUAAACCUGAUUUUAUUUGUAUUUUCGUAUUUAUGUAUGUAUAUGUGUGUGUGUGUGUGUGUGUGUGUGUGUGUGUGUGCGAUGUUUUAAAGAAGCAGACAUGUGUUUAGUGUUUGCAUAACGGUCUGACUGCCAUGUUAACAAGUCAUCAUGACAAACUUGAGAAGGAUAAUUUACAAAUAUCUCUGGUUAGUUUGUGUAGAUAUUGUGGACAAAAUCUCAGUACUAAUCUGACAUUACUAACUACAUAAAGAAGUGGUACCUUAUAAUAUAUGUUGCAGUUUCAUAUUUAUAUCUAGGAUGUGAUGUGUGCAAAAAUCUUACAUACUGGAGUUUGUGAUUUCUUUUGCUAUGUUUUUGCGAUGUGGAAAUAACUGAUGUUGAGAUUUUGUAAAUCCUUUUAACUGACAGGCUAUUUAAUAUGUAAUGCUUGCAACUGGAGUUAUUGCACAGUCAUAUCCAGAAUGUUUGUCUGAGUUCUAUAAGUUGUGAAAGUAACCUUCAUGCGCUUCUUCAGGUAAAAUUUAAUAAUUCAAAUUUGAAACGUACUGAGACAUUUUGUUGUAAUAACAAGUUUUAUAACCUACGUUUUUACAUAAUUUUAUUUGUUAAACUUCUUAACUCGGAAGAAACUUUACAAAACACGUUAUUUUCAUUUCAAUCUUCUAUAACACAGUUAUGUUACACAUGUCUUUACUUUCUAGAACCAUGUGUCACCAAAUCAGUUAAAUAUUAUUGAAGGGGUUAUGUUCUGAUUUUUAGGUUGAAUAGCUUGUGUAUAUCACUGUGAAAUAUUUACAGAUUUAUCUAAAAUACAAAAGUCUACGAUAUAUUGUGUGAAUGGUGAAAUUAAAGUAUUAUGCGUAAUGCACAUUUUUGUUGUAGAGUAUAAAUGUUAAAGACAGAUAUGUAUCACUAAUUUUAUGUUGUACCACCCACUAGCAUUACAAAAUAAAGUGUUGAGUUUCAGUAUUCCUUAGAUACAUAACUGUGAUAUUUGAAAGAUAUACAACAAAUAUGGGACUACUGAAUGAGCUUUUUCUUAUAAUUUUUUAAGUUCUGUUAAAUUUUGAAAUAAAAAGAUACCUUAAAUGAAAA